GAGUGCUUGCACUCAAUUGGAAAGAGGAGUGGCGGACGGGUGAGUAACACGUGGGUAACCUACCCAUCAGAGGGGGAUAACACUUGGAAACAGGUGCUAAUACCGCAUAACAGUUUAUGCCGCAUGGCAUAAGAGUGAAAGGCGCUUUCGGGUGUCGCUGAUGGAUGGACCCGCGGUGCAUUAGCUAGUUGGUGAGGUAACGGCUCACCAAGGCCACGAUGCAUAGCCGACCUGAGAGGGUGAUCGGCCACACUGGGACUGAGACACGGCCCAGACUCCUACGGGAGGCAGCAGUAGGGAAUCUUCGGCAAUGGACGAAAGUCUGACCGAGCAACGCCGCGUGAGUGAAGAAGGUUUUCGGAUCGUAAAACUCUGUUGUUAGAGAAGAACAAGGACGUUAGUAACUGAACGUCCCCUGACGGUAUCUAACCAGAAAGCCACGGCUAACUACGUGCCAGCAGCCGCGGUAAUACGUANGUGGCAAGCGUUGUCCGGAUUUAUUGGGCGUAAAGCGAGCGCAGGCGGUUUCUUAAGUCUGANGUGAAAGCCCCCGGCUCAACCGGGGAGGGUCAUUGGAAACUGGGAGACUUGAGUGCA
rnacentral:rRNA from 1 species